UACGGAGGGGGCUAGCGUUGUUCGGAAUUACUGGGCGUAAAGCGCACGUAGGCGGCUUUGUAAGUUAGAGGUGAAAGCCCUCAGCUCAACUGAGGAAGCGCGCCCGAAACUGCAGAGCUUGAGUACCGGAGAGGAUGGCGGAAUUCCCCAAGUAGAGGUGAAAUUCGUAGAUAUAGGGAGGAACACCGGUGGCGAAGGCGGCCAUCUGGACGGAUACUGACGCGUGAGACGCGAAAGCGUGGGGAGCAAACAGG
rnacentral:rRNA from 1 species